GAGAUAUUUCUCAUUCCUGGCUGUAGACGCAGAGCAAGAUUAAGGUAGGAGUUUCUUGUAAAGAGAGAGAAAAUAUUUCACUGACACGAUACGAGAGGAUAAGGGAGAAGAGAAGAAAAACUGGCUGCUAAACUGGCUGCUUUUUAGUUUCUGUCCAAUGGCAGGGAAACAAAUUUCUUCUACUACAACAACAGCAGCUCCUCCACCAGCACGCCCUACAAUAUUGCUGCCGCCGAGGCCUUCUAUGGAUGCCUUUUUCGCUGGUGGACUCAGUCCUGGUCCCAUGACUCUUGUCUC
rnacentral:misc_RNA from 1 species